rnacentral:tRNA from 1 species
GCGGGCGUGGUGGAACUGGUAGACACGCGAGAUUUAGGUUCUCGUGGCGAAAGCCGUGGGGGUUCAAGUCCCUCCGCCCGCA